rnacentral:rRNA from 1 species
AGCGAACGCUGGCGGUAGGCCUAACACAUGCAAGUCGAACGGCAGCACAGUAAGAGCUUGCUCUUACGGGUGGCGAGUGGCGGACGGGUGAGGAAUACAUCGGAAUCUACUUUUUCGUGGGGGAUAACGUAGGGAAACUUACGCUAAUACCGCAUACGACCUACGGGUGAAAGCAGGGGAUCUUCGGACCUUGCGCGAUUGAAUGAGCCGAUGUCGGAUUAGCUAGUUGGCGGGGUAAAGGCCCACCAAGGCGACGAUCCGUAGCUGGCCUGAGAGGAUGAUCAGCCACACUGGAACUGAGACACGGUCCAGACUCCUACGGGAGGCAGCAGUGGGGAAUAUUGGACAAUGGGCGCAAGCCUGAUCCAGCCAUACCGCGUGGGUGAAGAAGGCCUUCGGGUUGUAAAGCCCUUUUGUUGGGAAAGAAAAGCAGCAGGUUAAUACCCCGCUGUUCUGACGGUACCCAAAGAAUAAGCACCGGCUAACUUCGUG